ensembl:rRNA 5S_rRNA 5S ribosomal RNA
GUCUAUGGCCAUACCACCCUGAAUGCGCCCGAUCUCGACUGAUCUCGGAAGCUAAGCAGGGUAGGGCCUGGUUAGUACUUGGAUGGGAGAGCAUUUGACUGCAAAGCCAAGAGUUGGAUGCU